AUUGAACGCUGGCGGCAGGCCUAACACAUGCAAGUCGAGCGGAGAGGAGGACGGGUGAGUAAUGCCUAGGAAUCUGACUGGUAGUGGGGGAUAACGUCAGGAAACGGGCGCUAAUACCGCAUACUAUCAGAUGAGCCUAGGUCGGAUUAACUAGUUGGUGGGGUAACGGCAUACCAAGGCGACGAUCCGUAACUGGUCUGAGAGGAGUAUCAGUCAAACUGGAACUGAGACCCUGUCCAUACUCCUACGGGAGGCAGCAGUGGGGAAUAGUGGACAAUGGGCGAAAGCCUGAUCCAGCCAUGCCGCGUGUGUGAAGAAGGUCUUCGGAUUGUAAAGCACUUUAAGUUAGGAGGCGUUACCAACAGAAUAAGCACCGGCUAACUUCGUGCCAGCAGCCGCGGUAAUUC
rnacentral:rRNA from 1 species